UACGUAGGGCGCAAGCGUUGUCCGGAAUUAUUGGGCGUAAAGAGCUCGUAGGCGGCUUGUCGCGUCGGAUGUGAAAGCCCGGGGCUUAACCCCGGGUCUGCAUUCGAUACGGGCAGGCUGGAGUGUGGUAGGGGAGAUCGGAAUUCCUGGUGUAGCGGUGAAAUGCGCAGAUAUCAGGAAGAACACCAACGGCGAAGGCAGCUCGCUGGGACGGAACUGACGCUAAGGCGCGAAAGCGUGGGGAGCGAACAGG
rnacentral:rRNA from 1 species